rnacentral:rRNA from 1 species
GAUGAACGCUAGCGAUAGGCUUAACACAUGCAAGUCGAGGGGCAGCAUGGUCUUAGCUUGCUAAGGCUGAUGGCGACCGGCGCACGGGUGCGUAACGCGUAUGCAACUUGCCUCACAGAGGGGGAUAACCCGUCGAAAGACGGACUAAUACCGCGUACACUCUAUGUUGGGCAUCCAAUGUAGAGGAAAUGAAAUUCGCUGUGAGAUAGGCAUGCGUCCCAUUAGCUAGUUGGUGAGGUAACGGCUCACCAAGGCGACGAUGGGUAGGGGAACUGAGAGGGUGAACCCCCACCCUGGUACUGAGACACGGACCAGACUCCUACGGGAGGCAGCAGUGAGGAAUAUUGGUCAAUGGGCGAGAGCCUGAACCAGCCAAGUCGCGUGAAGGAUGACUGUCUUAUGGAUUGUAAACUUCUUUUAUACGGGAAUAACAAGAGUCACGUGUGGCUCCCUGCAUGUACCGUAUGAAUAAGCAUCGGCUAACUCCGUG